UGUAGAGAUUCUUCAACAAAUACCAAAUCUGUCAUGUAAAUACUCAGCAGGCAGUAGGGGAUAAGCAGCAGCUAUUUAAUGUGCUUGAAGUAGUAAUAUCUUUUUGCAUACUAGUAGCUUUACUGUUAAUUAUAUAGUGUUAAAUUUAGUCUGAGUACACAUGAGUAGAAUAUGGCAGUAUAGUGAGUGGUAGUUUUUAUCAAUAUGAUAUACAGACUUACAAGGGAAUGGUUUGGUGUUCAAUGCUGAAAACUGCUUUGUAAUUUUCUUAGUCAUUUUUAGUUCAGCAUCAUGUGAAAACCAUUCGUAUUUUGUAACUGCUGAUUCACACUAGAAGUUAGCUGAGCAAAAAAUCACAAAAACACUAUUUCUUAGCAGAGCCCACACAAAUGAAUAAACUGGCUCCUCCGGAUGUUACUCACAUACUGUUGUUUCAACAAAUGUAGUGUGGUGAAUGGUCAUGGAAGUGUUGCAAACUGUCAGCACAACAUACACUGAAGAAGAACACUGCUCCAAUUCUGUGUUAAAAUGGAAUAGAACAGUCGUUUUCUGGAUCUUUCUUUUGAUUAUAGGUAAAUUUUUGAAUCACAUCAUUCUCACAUAAGUUUUAACUUCAAAAAAUAUCCUGCAAAUCCAGUUUCACAGUGCAGAUAUUUGUAUAUGUUUUGCUGCUAGCUGUGAAUAACUACAGCAGAUUUAGCUGAAGAACUAAUACAGGGGCCGAUGACCUAGCAGGUUGGUCCCUUCCCUCAUCUUUAAACCAACCAACCAACUAAUACAAAAAAACACACUUCUGAAGAUUAUCUGUUGUGGGGAAUUAUAAUGACAAUUUGUAUAUGAACUUUUAAACAGUUCAAACAGGUGUGUGCAGAAUCAAGAGAUCAAGAGUUUCUAAGACUUCAGUGCCACAGACAAGAAAAUAUGCAAAGCAAUGAUGUAUUGGUUGAACAACCUUGGUAAAAUACUUACAUUAGUGGUUGAAUGAAACCCAGGAUACUGCAUGUACUGGCUGAAUGAAACACAGGUAAUCCAUUCACUACAGAAGACCAAGACUGCAUGGCACAAUUACACCAUUACUGUCUACUAAACAAAAUAUAUUCCUGCGGAAUAUCAGGUCAGUCAUGUUAUUAGUUUAAAAAGUUUUUAGCGAGCAAGACUCAGUGCAGCGGAUAAAGAUCUUAAUAAAAUCAUUUUUCAGAUAAUGUCAGUAGCUCUCUGAGGCUAUUCUACAGACAAUUCUGCUAUAUAAAGGGGAUCCUUAGAAAUAUGCUUUGAAAUGCUGGAAUACGUGCAGAUGGUCAGCACUUGGAACAAAAACUGGCAAAUCAUCACUCAACAUGGCCAAUGCAAUGCCAUACUUAGCAAAACGAAGUCAGUUGCCAUAACGUGAUGAAGACGACGUUCAAGAAUGGCUGAGUGUCAACGAUGCAGAUCCACGGCACCAAAUCAUGCAGAUAGUGAAACUGUAAACCUCAUCACUGACAAAAAGGACACCACCAUUAUCUCAUCACCCAGUGGACCAGAAAACGAAGACGAAAAUAUACCAGCUGCUUCUGAAGCAUUUACAUGUUUAGAUACUGUCUUGUGAUGAUUUGCAUUUCAAGAAGAAAAUGACUAGUAUCAAAUAUUUAUACUGAAAAAAGUAUCUGGCUUGGCUGCUUGUAAGUGGAUAGGCUUCUUUAGACAGACAAAAAUUAAGGAUUUCUUUUAAGGGUUAAUUAUAUACCUACAUACUAUACAUGCAAAAUGCAUGUGUAUUACAUAAGUUUUUGUUUACAGGCCAUACUACAUACAUUUCAACUGUACUUGCCUUUGUAA